UACGUAGGGCGCAAGCGUUGUCCGGAAUUAUUGGGCGUAAAGAGCUCGUAGGCGGCCUGUUGCGUCUGCUGUGAAAUCCCGGGGCUUAACCCCGGGCGUGCAGUGGAUACGGGCAGGCUGGAGGCAGGCAGGGGAGAACGGAAUUCCCGGUGUAGCGGUGAAAUGCGCAGAUAUCGGGAGGAACACCGGUGGCGAAGGCGGUUCUCUGGGCCUGUACUGACGCUGAGGAGCGAAAGCGUGGGGAGCGAACAGG
rnacentral:rRNA from 1 species